rnacentral:tRNA from 1 species
CCUUUUAUAAGUUAAGUAAACUCAGGGCUUGUGGGGCCUUAUAUAACUCUAUAAUAUAAGUAGUUUAAAAGGU